UACGUAGGUGACAAGCGUUAUCCGGAUUUAUUGGGCGUAAAGCGCACGCAGGCGGCUCUUCAAGUCUGACGUGAAAUCUCUCGGCUUAACCGGGAGCGGUCGUUGGAAACUGAAGGGCUUGAGGCGAUGAGAGGGGUGUGGAAUUCCCGGUGUAGUGGUGGAAUGCGUAGAUAUCGGGAGGAACACCGAUGGCGAAGGCAGGUCUCUGGGCAUUAACUGACGCUGAGGAGCGAAAGCAUGGGGAGCGAACAGG
rnacentral:rRNA from 1 species